CAAAACUGAAAUCUGAGGUACGACAGAGGAACUGUUGAUUUGGAUAUAUGACCUAAGGGCACAGUUUUAUUAUAACCAUUGUAAUCAUACCAAAAGAUAGGUUUAAUUUUUUAAGGAAUAUGUUUCCAAGUAAUUAUACUUAACCAGAUGCCAAAUGAAAGUUCUUCAUUUUAGGGUGCCAUUUAACCCAAUGAUGUAAAAUCAAACACAUUAUUUUAUUACUGUUUCAAAGAAGAUUUGUUUGUAUUCUCCCAAUUUAUGCGAUUUAAAUGGUUUGGAGACUUAUUUCUGUUCUGUAAUCUCUUUCCUUGUCCUGCAGGCCAUCUGUAGGAAAGGUUAUCAUUAACAUGAGCAAGCCAACUCAUGUGUGUACAUGUACAUCCUUUUCUCCUCAUGAUGCACUGGAAGCAAGGAUGGAUUUGGAGGACAAUGGACUGGUUCUUUCUCCACCCACUGUUAAAAAUGAGAGGACAUUUUCAAUUUUCUAACCUAAAUAUCUUGGAGGACUUCAAAAGGAAAUGGAUUUUGAGCUUAAAUUCAAGUGAUAAAGAAACCAAAAACAUUUCUAAUGGUAAGCUACUUUGGACACAUUUCAGGUCCCUCCCAUUUUAUUUCCAAUCUGCUGAACCUACUUGUAUUACUUCAUUCCCGAAGAGGAAGAUAUACAGUGAUGGUGAUGCUUAAAUCAAACAACUGAUGCAGCAACAUUAAUAUUUUUAAUUAUACCACUAAUUGCUAAGAAGAGUUGGAAGCAUUUGUAUCAGUCAUUGUAUUGUCAUAUCUGUCCAUUGUGGUUAUGGAAUCUAGAGUCAUUUAAUUCAGUUAGGAGAAA
rnacentral:lncRNA from 1 species